AAUCCGUGUUGCGGGCAAUUUUUCUGGAGCUCCUUGAACUUUUCCCACGUCUCAAAUAGAGAAUCCAAUUCUAAUUAUACAAAGGAUGAGAUCUCAUUCCUAACCUU